AAGAUAUCCCCCCGAAAUGCUCAAGAAAGCUCAAAAUUGUCCAAAAUCCGGAAGCUUCAUUGAAGCUUUUGGUCCUUACGAGCUUAUGGGAUCUCGAUAGGGGUCAUUCCUUAAACCUUCAUUUCACUCUCACAUUCUGCUCAAAGCGCAUAUGCCUCCUAAAUGAACGAAUAUCCACACCAGUUUCUAGGUUUCUAAUCACCAAAGUCAUCAAGCGGUCGAGACUAUCUUUUCAUUUUACAAGAUCUAGUCAUUGUGUGUAUGGUCCAAGACUGCAUUUGAAAUCAAGCAGCCACUUGAUUAUUCCUUUCACCAGCAUUUCCAGAAUGUAAGGCAUUAAACAACAAAGGAUGACCUAAUAUGCUCGAGAGAUGAAUUUAUAAGAGAAGUAUUGUUGGAGCCAUUCAAUCAAAAGAAACAGAACAUACUCUCAAGUGCUUUCAAGACCUGCAACUGCAUAUCAUCUAAUGAGCUUCAACAACAUGUCCCAGUAACUACAGUUCACCUUUCUUGGUCAUUCAGGAGGUGAUUUUCACAAAAGGUUUCCAUAUCUAAAAUAGAGCAUGAUCACCUACAACUACCUAGCAUUUCUCCUAAACCUUCAGAUUUACCUUCAGCUUGUGUUGCGAAACUGUACUUAACCUCUUCCAAGUCGAACCUCUUGGCAACAUUGAAACCAAUCCUGUGUAGAUGCAAUGGCGACAGCCACCUUCCCGUGGGAGCUCUUGGAUAGUGUUGAUUUCGUGUAAUGGUUAUGAUCCAGAUUCAGCAAUGAUCUGUACUUGACUGUCUUCCAAUUGAAUAACCAUUUUAUUCGGUUUUAGUUGAUCGUAAGUGGGGUUUUUGAUUGAAUACAUGUGUGCUUAAGUGGGUAUAGUUGUCUAAUUUUUACUUGCAGCUUGAAAUUUUAGAUUCAAUCCUUAACGCUUUUGGUUUAAGUGGGUUGGGAUUACUUUUAGUUUUAUAUCUAAAUCUAAUUUGCUGUAAUAAUGAUUUGUUACAUGGAUGUUAAGGGAAAUCAUUUGUUUAUCUA